rnacentral:rRNA from 1 species
UACAGAGGGUGCAAGCGUUAAUCGGAUUUACUGGGCGUAAAGCGCGCGUAGGCGGCUAAUUAAGUCAAAUGUGAAAUCCCCCGAGCUUAAACUUGGGAAUUGCAUUCGAUACUGGUUAGCUAGAGUGUUGGGAGAGGAUGGUAGAAUUCCAGGUGUAGCGGUGAAAAUGCGUAGAGAUCUGGAGGAAUACCGAUGCGAAGGCAGCCAUCUGGCCUAAACACUGACGCUGAGGUGCGAAAAGCAUGGGGGAGCAAA